rnacentral:rRNA from 1 species
ACGCUCGACACCUACGGGAGGUAGCAGUGGGGAAUAUUGCACAAUGGGGGAAACCCUGAUGCAGCGACGCCGCGUGAGCGAAGAAGUAUUUCGGUAUGUAAAGCUCUAUCAGCAGGGAAGAAACUGACGGUACCUGACUAAGAAGCACCGGCUAAAUACGUGCAGCAGCCGCGGUAAUCUGAGGCGGCUGGCAAGGC